UACGUAGGGGGCAAGCGUUGUCCGGAUUUAUUGGGCGUAAAGAGCGUGUAGGCGGCCAAACAGGUCAGCUGUGAAAACUCGAGGCUCAACCUCGAGACGUCGGUUGAAACCGUUUGGCUAGAGUCCGGAAGAGGAGAGUGGAAUUCCUGGUGUAGCGGUGAAAUGCGUAGAUAUCAGGAGGAACACCGGUGGUGUAAACGGCUUUCUGGACCAUAACUGACGCUGAGGCACGAAAGCGUGGGUAGCAAACAGG
rnacentral:rRNA from 1 species